rnacentral:hammerhead_ribozyme from 1 species
AUGAGGCUGACGUGUCCCAAACAGGACGAAACGCGCAUCUUGUAU